CCAGGCUAGGGGUUGAAUUGUAGCUGCAGCUGCCGACCUACACCACAGCCACAGCAACACCAGAUCCAAGUUGCAUCUGCAACUAUGCCACAGCUUGUAGCAAUGCCGGAUCCUUAACCCACUGAGCAAGGCGAGGGAUUGAACGUGCAUGCUCAUGGAUACUAUUCAGGUUCUAAACCCACUGAGCCACAACGGGAACUCCUUUUCAGUAAGUUUAUGAUUGUUUCAAAGAAAUUCUAAGUAUUGUUUUAUGCCAGGACAAAUAUAUCCUAUUGAUGCCAGUGGAAUAUCUGACAGCAAGGCUCCCCUGGAAACAUCAGGGUUUGUGGCUGCCCUAGCCACUGUGGGUAAGACAGAACUUUCCAGAGCAGUUCUUUUGGUUUUUCCAAGACCAGCUGGUCCUUUAUACUUGAAAUUUGGCUUUCUGUCCACCACGGAGCUCUUGUCCUGGGUGACUUACACUUGUUAUCAGCAUGGUUUCUCCAGGCUGGAAAAUCCAUCCUAUGCUUAAGAGAACUUAAAACACAACGGUGCCUCUCCUGUCCAGAGUCUCCUUGCCAGGGUAGUGCUGACACAUCUGCCACCAGGGGACCUCUGUCAACCACGCAGGUGCAUCAGCUCACCAGUCAGAAGUCAAUGCUUCUGAAAGUCGACAAAAUGUUGGUUCUGGGAUUCCAGAAGAAAGCCAUUCCCUCCCUUUCCUUUUUUUCAUUGACAAAAAUAUUAAAUCCGUAUCAUGAGCCAAACCAUACAGGGGACAAGUAGGAAUAAAAUCACAACUCCUCACCUCAAGAAGAGCACCACUUGGGCACUUUCUAAAGACAAAAAAUUUUGUUUUGCUUUUUAGGGCUGCACCCGGGGCAUAUGGAGGUUCCCAGGCUAGGGGUUGAAUCAGAGCUGAUGCUGCUGGCCUACGCCACAGCCACAGCAACAUGGGAUCCGAGCCGUGUCUGUAACCUACACCACAGCUCACGGCAAUGCCGGAUCCUUAACCCACUGAGCGAGGCCAGGGAUUGAACCCGCAACCUCAGAUUCGUUUCCACUGCGCCACGACAGGAGCUCCAAGAAAAAAUUUUUUUAAUUGAACUGUAACAUACACACACGAAAGCACACAAAUCGUAACUGGACUGCUCAGUGAAUUUGCAUAAACCAAACACACCUGAGUCACCAGAACCCAGAUCAAAAAAGAGAACUUGACCAGCACCCAGAAGCAUCACUGCUCUUUCCAACCACUACCCUCCUUCCUGGACCCCCAGCCACUCUCCUGACCUUUAACAAAGCCAAGUUUUACAGAAAGAAGUUCACUUUUAAAGGAGGAAAAUAAAGUACUGGUUUUUCCAGAAUGGAGCUUCCCCUCCUAGGGAGCCAGAGUUACACUGCACUAACACCAUCUGCAUGUGUGUUACCAGAUUCUGCUUCUCUGUAGUGCUACGUGUUGCUGCUUAAUGGAUGGCAACUUGAGCUGUGCCUCCUAUGGACCUGUACAAUAAUUCUCCUGUGAAAGAGUCUCAGCAGAGCUGCUGAAUCUAGCUGCCAGUUGGGCACCCCUGCUGAAAUCCAGCCUGGCCCCUUUGGUCAGACCAGAUAGAACAGGGCAGGGUUCUGUGUGUGCAUCUCACACAAAGGCCUGGUGGCAACCCUGAGUGUGCCAGCUGUUUGGCUGGGGAAAGUGAAUGGAGGGGCAUACUGAGUGUUGUCCUCAGAUCCGAUGGCAAUUCAUGGGCUUGCAUGAGUCUGAGGUAUCCCCAAAGGAUCCUGGCCCCAACUCUUUAAUAGGAAGCCUGAAGAUGCACCCUAAUUUCCCCUGAUGGUGCUGCUCCCUUAGGACUGCUCAAUUCUAGGCAGUAGAUCCCACUGGGUGACGUGUCCUUUUAUUGGUAUAACGAGAGCUCAAGAAGUAGGUAUAUAGACUCAACUAGGCCAGGUAAAGCAUCUUUUUAGAAAUAUUGACCAACUGGAGGGCUGCUGAACUCAGAACUACUGUUGAACUCUGCCCACCCUGAGGGCUACUCAGGGACAAAGUCUAUUCCUCAUUCAGGCUGAACCUCCUUCCCUCACCAACCCCUUCUUCAUAUCCCCCUGCUUUUCCUCUCCUUUUGGUCAAUCUUUCCUUUUCACUUUUCUCUACCUCCCCUCCCUUCCUUUUUCCUCUCACUCUAUAUUAUUUUUUUAAGUCUACAUGCUUUAUUUGGUUAUUUCUCUCUCACUCACUCUUUUUUUUUGACCAUGUUCAUGGUAUGCAGAAGUUCCCAGGCCAGGGAUUGAACCCACGCCCAGCUGUACCAGAGACACAGCAGUGACAAUGCCAGAUCUUUAACACACUGAGCCACAAGGAAACACCUCACUCUAUAUUAUUUUGAAGGGUUCUAGUUGGGUGUCAUCAAUUGUGAUCAUUUGAAGAACAGGAAGAAAGCAAGAAGAUUUUCCCCCAGAGGAAAGGCAGGGAAGAGAAGGACAUGUCUACAGAUGGCAAUGUAUGUCACAUGCCUUUAGCACAUAAAACCUAGAGGCCCAGAAUUCCCAUCACGGCACAGUAGAAACAAAUGACUAGGAACCAUGAGGUUGCGGAUUCGAUCCCUGGCCUUGCUCAGUGGGUUAAGGAUCCAGCAUUGCCAAGAGCUGUGGUGUGAGUUGCAGAUGAGGCUGAGAUCUGGCAUUGCUGCGGCUUUGGCCUAGACCAGCAGCUGUAGCUCCAACUGGACCCCCUAGCCUGGGAACCUCCAUAUACCACGAGUGUGGCCCUAAAAAGCAAAAACAAACAAACAAAACCUAUUGCUUUUGUAGGGAAAGAAACUAUUCUCAUCUACCCAUUUCAUGGUCUCUGACUCGGUCUAAUUAAAGAAUUAGAAUAACAUAGGAUAAACAGGGAAAAAGCAUACAAGUUGCAAUUUUUUUUUUCACUUAUACAUUGGAGAAUUCACAAGAGAAACGAAGAUCCAAUGAAGCAGAUCACUUACAUAUUAAGUCAGACGAUUAGGUUGGAGUACAUUGUGAAAAUAUGACAAGGUAAAGGGGCUUGGGUUAAAGCAGUUAAUCAUGGAGAAGUGACUAGGAGAAUAAGAUGAGCUCAGCAGGAUUUGUUUGAACAAAUUUCUCCCUGUUCCUGGUGAUGAGAAUGUUUCUUUCCUGCUGGUUCAUGGAGGGCAUCUUCCAUGCAUGAGUUUCAUCUCCUGCUUUCAGGAAGAAAAGAAGAAAGUCCUUGCAUAUGUUGGAUUUUUUUGAAUGCCUUUAACGUAAAAUAAUCAAUAUACAAGAGCAGCAUAUUUGGGGUAGUGUGUUCUGAGGGCUUUCAGUACAUAGGAAAUAUUUUUAUGAAGUUUUCCCUUUAAAGAGAAUUUUGAGGAAGUUGCCAGAGGGAUGAGGUACAAGAUAAAGCUCUAUAAUAUUACAUUUGAGGGUGUAAAGAAUUUAGAGGCUUCUGAAAAGUCAUCCAACCAGGUGCCUUCAUUUUACAGAUCAGAAAGUAGGUCAGAGAUGCUAAUCUGAUUUGCCUAAAGUCGCACAACUGGUGGCAGAAACCCACAUCUGCAGUCUCCCAAAUCAGUGCUCUUUUCCUCAUGAUGGUUCUUGUAAAAUGGAAAAAUACACAAAUCAGCUUCAUCCUAGGUAUCCUGUGUAGUGGCAAGCUCCAGUAAGUUGAUAAAGUAAGAAUUACAGCAUUAUUUGUGAAAGCAUCCAUGAGAACUAUUCCAGCCUUCAGAAAGCACAAUACAAAAGAACCCUCUCCUUUACCACCUUAAAUUAUGGGCAGCACAUUUUGUGAGGUUUCCAUAACUUACUUGUUGAAACUUUACUCAGGAGUCCAGUCUUUUGUCUUCCUGUGGUUUGUUUGAAAUUCAUUAUCCUCUUUCAUCCCUUUCUCUUCCUCCCUUUCUCCACCCUUCCACUCCACCCCUGUCUCAUGUCAAAUCUGAAAGAUCUUAGAGGGAAAUAUCACAGUCACCAAGGACUUAUCAUCAUCACCAAGAUUGAUCCCAUAUGGUGUCUACAAAGAUGAAGGGUGAGGUUACAGCUCUCGUGUACGCCACAGGCACGAUGUGGGAACCGUCUCCUACUCUCCAUGCCCUGUCCCUGAGAUGAGCUCAACCUGUUGGAACCAAGAAUUUCUACUCUCCUGGCUUCAAGAACUUCUAGCCAUGCUUUUUCCAUUUAUUCAACUGUGUUUCAAGAGCAACAGGAUUCAGAGGUUUGAAAAGCUUUAAAAAAUACAUUUCAUCUGAUCCUGUGCCUACAGAAUUCGGGCUCUGAUUUACCUUUGAGUUCUUGCUGACUUGUACUAAGGCAAUUGUUCCUUUUGUGCUUAUAAAUUAUAUUUGGAUUUUGUUUUUCCUCUCGUUUGUUUAGUUUCCAGAAUAGAAGAAAUCUCAACUCAGGCUCUAAUUAAGCGCCAGUACUAAUCUGUCAUUUGUUUCCAAGAUGUUUGAAGAGAUGUCUCACAGAGUUCUCCCCUUUCAAGCUAGCUUCUCAGAAUGUCCAUGGAGAUUUCCAGAAGCUUCUUCCAUUAGCCAUGUGUGAUGUGGAAUGUGAAGGUUCCCCCCUGGGUGAUGUGCUACAAUGGAGGCAGAGUGGUAAGAGUGUAAGCUACAGGAAAUUGAAGGCUAGGGUGGCAUCCAGCCAAUUCCUCCACAUUAUCCCUAUGGCAUUGGUUCCAAAAGCAUCUUGUCCUCAACUACAGAAUGGCAACUAUGACUGAUGUUUUGAGUUUGUUUCUUUUCUAUUUUUUUUUUCUUUUAUGGGCUGCACCUGCAGUAUAUGGAAGUUCCCAGACUAGGGGUUGAAUCAGAGCAGCAGCUGCUGGCCUACACCAUAGCCGCAGCAAUGCAGGAUCUGAGCCACAUCUGCAACCUAUACCACAGCUCACUGCAAUGCCUGAUCUUUAACCCACUGAGCAAGGCUAGGGACUGAACUGCAUCCUCAUGGAUACCAGUCGUGUUAGUAACCUGCUGAGCCACAACAGGAAUUCCUUGAGUUUGUUUCUUUUAAAGAAAGAAGUGACUUACUGUUUGGUUUCUUCCUAAGGUCUUUGUUUCUCUGGCUGUGUUUGGAGAAGCCAGGAGAGCCUGGCUAAAAAAAAAAAGAAGAAGAAGAAGAUCUGCCUGGCUCUACUAACUGCUUGCUGAGUUACCCGAGUAAUAUGGCUCAUGCCAACAGCCACACUAUUGAAGAGCCAGCCAGCAGUGGACAUGAAAGAGAAAGGGCACAUAAAAGCAAUUCUGCUCUAGUAAACUGUUUCAUGGCAUUCACGGGGAGGAAAGACAACUCAAAAUACAACCUUAAAGUGUGCUCAGCAAGAAACAAACUGACUACUGGGGGCCUUUGGAACUUGGCUCUGAUGCAAAGCUCAAUUAUACAUUGAAGUACUGAGUUACUGAAAGCCAGGCAGCGGGGAAUAGGCCCUCUCGCUCUAUAGAAUGCAGCUCUGAAAAAGAUUUAUCACGCAGCUGAUGCACUUGCCACAUGUUGAGGACUUAAUUUAAUGAAUUCUCUCCCUUUUUUUCCUUGCUGAAGCAAAAAAACAAAACAAAACAAAACAAAAACAUCAUUGCGGUGGUGGGAAAAUGUUUGCAAUAAUUUUAAGAUAUGUAAGAUUGCCCAAGAGGCAUAUCAUAUUUAGACAGUUUCAGAAUUUCAUUAAUCCACCUUUAGGAAUGUGUUAUCUUACAGACUGUACUUGUAUACAGUACAAAGACAGCCAAUUCUUAAAAGACACUGAAGAGCAAUCCUCUUUUUCCAACACGCUCUUCACAUGUCUCUAGUUGUUCAAGUACAGAAAAGUAACUUAUUAGAUGCUCAGCUCCUGGCUUUUUAUCCAGACCUCCUUCUGAAAACAAGCAAGUUCUUCAAGAAUAGAGUUUACAUAAGGUAGGAUUUGGGACCAGACAGUAUAUUAAUCAAUUGGACAGAAGUGGUACCUAUUCAUUCCUCCUUAUUAGAUGUGAUAUACAAACAUCUAUUCCAAAGAUAUAAAGUAUAUAUCAUGGAGUGGAACUGUCUUUGUGGGGUAGGCCAGGAACACUCCUGUGACAAAUUUCCCAAGAUGACCAUUUAAAGCUGUUUCCUUUACCUAAACAUUAAAUAAGAAUGUCACUCUUUUUAAGGCAAAAGCAUCUGUUAUCUAUGAGCCCCUGGGUUUUGAGCUAAGUGCCACUGUUCACCUGUUGAUUUUUUUUUUUAAUCUGCUGGAACAUGAUCUCUGACUAUCUUAUGG
rnacentral:lncRNA from 1 species